UGGGGAAUUUUGGACAAUGGGCGAAAGCCUGAUCCAGCCAUGCCGCGUGAGUGAAGAAGGCCUUCGGGUUGUAAAGCUCUUUUAGUCGGAAAGAAAGAGUUGCAAUGAAUAAUUGUGAUUUAUGAUGGUACCGACAGAAAAAGCGCCGGCUAACUACGUGCCAGCAGCCGCGGUAAUACGUAGGGUGCGAGCGUUAAUCGGAAUUACUGGGCGUAAAGGGUGCGCAGGCGGUCUUGCAAGUCAGAUGUGAAAGCCCCGGGCUUAACCUGGGAAUUGCGUUUGAAACUACAAGGCUAGAGUGCAGCAGAGGGGAGUGGAAUUCCAUGUGUAGCAGUGAAAUGCGUAGAGAUGUGGAAGAACACCGAUGGCGAAGGCAGCUCCCUGGGUUGACACUGACGCUCAUGCACGAAAGCGUGGGGAGCAAACA
rnacentral:rRNA from 1 species